rnacentral:rRNA from 1 species
UACGAAGGGGGCUAGCGUUGCUCGGAAUCACUGGGCGUAAAGGGUGCGUAGGCGGCGCGGUAAGUCGGGUGUGAAAUCUCGGGGCUUAACUCCGAAACUGCAUUCGAUACUGCCGUGCUUGAGGACUGGAGAGGAGACUGGAAUUUACGGUGUAGCGGUGAAAUGCGUAGAUAUCGUAAGGAAGACCAGUGGCGAAGGCGGGUCUCUGGACAGUUCCUGACGCUGAGGCGCGAAGGCCAGGGGAGCAAACGGG